GAUGAAAAGAAUGUAUAUUCUGCAAUUGCUGGGUAGAAUGUUCUGUAAAUGUUUAUGUUUAUUCUGUCUAAAGUUCAGUUUAAAUUCAGUGUUACUUUGUUAACUUUCUGUCUAGAUGAUUGUCUAAGGCUGAGAGUGAGGUGAAUAAGCCUCCCACUAUUUCUGUUAGGCCUGUUUGAAAAAAAUACACCUGGGAUCUCCAAAGAUUGCAUUAUGUUCAAUUAGGAAGAAGAUAUGAUGGUUGAAGUUACAAGGAAUCCAUGUUGUAACCAGGAGCUGAUCUUGAUCAAUGGAGCUACAUAAAGCAUGUUGAAAUGCAAAGAAAGAUAGAAGGAGCCUGUGGUACCGAAAACAUUGAGGAUUCUCUGAACCAGCCUUGGCUACCCCACCAUUUA